rnacentral:tRNA from 1 species
UCCCAGGUGGCUCAGUGGUAAAGAAUCUGCCUGCCAAGCAGAAAACACAGGUUCGCUCCCUGGGUUGGGAA